rnacentral:rRNA from 1 species
AGGACGAGAGGACCGGAGUGGUCGAAUCACUGGUGUUCGGGUUGUCAUGACAAUGGCACUGCCCGGUAGCUAAAUGCGGAAGAGAUAAGUGCUGAAAGCAUCUAAGCACGAAACUUGCCCCGAGAUGAGUUCUCCCUGACUCCUUGAGAGUCCUGAAGGAACGUUGAAGACGACGACGUUGAUAGGCCGGGUGUGUAAGCGCAGCGAUGCGUUGAGCUAACCGGUACUAAUGAACCGUGAGGCUUAACCUUACAACGCCGAAGGUGUUU